UCCUGAGGCACGGGGCUGCCGGGCGGCCAUGUUGGUCUCUGCAGUCUCUGCUCCAGCUGCGGCCCGCCUGAGUACAAGGAUGCAUGUAUGAAGGCAAAUUGAGGGUACAAGUGGUGCCUCACCGCAAACCAACCUGCGAAACCCCAGACAUCCACUGUUACAAACAGGAAGAAGCUAUGGGCCUUUGCCUCAGACUCUGCAAAAGAUUUACCAAGCCUGAGGAAAGUGACAAAAAGUGACAAAAUGCCACAGCGUAACUUCAGGAUGGCAGAUCCGACACAAAUGGGAGGCCUGAGUAUGCUGCUUUUAGCAGGGGAACGUGCCCUGACUGCACAAGAGAUCUCCUCAAGCACAUCACAGCCUGCAGUCCCUGGAGCUGUAAAACAAACUGAGGAGUCUGCAUUGUUUCAGUUUGCUGAGGUAUAAUGGCUGAAGUAUGGUGGGGGAGGAUGGGGGGGAGCAAGGCACCAGUAAGAGUUGUCACUGAGUGGCUAAGCACCCUGUCCGAUAAGGG